rnacentral:lncRNA from 1 species
UGCCAAAUUCUCCACUGAAUGCCAGAGGAAGAAGCACUGUAUUUUCACGGUCCUUUUUGCUCCCAAAUUGGCAAGGCCAGUGCUGCUGUCCAAAAUAAAUGAAGUGUGUGAAGACAGUUUAAAGGCAUUGAGGAAUUUCAGACUUUUUGCAUCUCACUCGCUUUCACCUAAUUUGUUAAUGGGUGUGAACUAAAACAGAAGCUUGCAGAAGGAUGCACGGUGAGUUUGUGACAUUGCUGGGAAUGUUUGGAUCUCCUGGGGCACCAGAGAACAGGAUGUCUCC